UACGGGGGGGGCAAGCGUUGUUCGGAAUUACUGGGCGUAAAGGGCUCGUAGGCGGCCAUCUAAGUCAGACGUGAAAUCCCUCGGCUUAACCGGGGAACUGCGUCUGAUACUGAAUGGCUUGAGUUUGGGAGAGGGAUGCGGAAUUCCAGGUGUAGCGGUGAAAUGCGUAGAUAUCUGGAGGAACAUCGGUGGCGAAGGCGGCAUCCUGGACCAACACUGACGCUGAGGAGCGAAAGCCAGGGGAGCAAACGGG
rnacentral:misc_RNA from 1 species